UACGGGGGGGGCAAGCGUUGUUCGGAAUUACUGGGCGUAAAGGGCUCGUAGGUGGCCAACUAAGUCAGACGUGAAAUCCCCAGGCUCAACUUGGGAACUGCGUCUGAUACUGGAUGGCUUGAAUUCGGGAGAGGGAUGCAGAAUUCCAGGUGUAGCGGUGAAAUGCGUAGAUAUCUGGAGGAAUACCGGUGGCGAAAGCGGCUCUCUGGAACGGUACUGACGCUGAGACGCGAAAGCGUGGGGAGCGAACAGG
rnacentral:rRNA from 1 species